GUGAAGCAGUAACAGUUCAUGGAGCUGCCCUUCACAAACCUGGAAGUAGCUUUCAUCUUACUGGCUUUUGUCAUUUUCUCCUUGUUCACCUUGGCAUCUAUCUACAGUGAUCCCCAUGGCAAGAAAGAAGAAGAAUGCUCCACACAGGAAGUAUACAGGAAAAGAAGCAAAUCCAACAAGAAAAAGACACAUGCAAACACGACUGAAUUGGUUUAGAGAAACAAUUGUUACCCAGGUCCAACGUUGGAAGUACAUCUGAAAGAGAUAACGUUGGAAGCUGGUCACCUGAACACAGUGAGAAAAAGGGUGUGAGAAAGGAAGGACCUGAUCAUCCAUCAGAUGGAAUCCAGACGUGACAAUUAGAGUUAAUGAACCACGACCCAAGAAGCAGUUUCAGCACUUUUUACAAUCCCACUUCAUGGCCUCAGUAAAACUUUCACGGCUUCCCCCCCCCCCCCAAAACCACAUCUGCUCCAAAUUCUAAAGGGAGAAACUGGUUUCAGAAGUUACAUUGGGUUUCUUCCCCACUUUUCAGUCAUGUAUGAGGUAAAUGUAAAAUCCUUGUUAACUGAAAAAUCAGAAGAUACUGCUUCUACGAUGAGAUUAUAUAGCAUUAUUACAGUAGCUAUUUAAUUUAUAUUAAGAUUAAUGAACUGAUAAAGCUGACUGAAAAACACCAAGCAAAUAUUUUCAAAACAUAACCAGUAUAAUGGCAUUUAUGUUCAAAUACUGGUUUUGGCCUCAGAAAGCUACGAGAAUGCCUCAAACAAGGAAAAAAAAACAAAAAAGUUGACUGAUACCUAAGUCUUCUAUCAUUUCUUCACAGAGCAGGUAUGAAGCUGUGCCUCUUUAUCCCCAAAGUCCAGAAGAUCUGCUGAACUUCUAAGCCUGAGGUGCAAUUGAUCUUUCUUUCCCUAUGGGCAAAGUAUUCCUGCAACCAGAGCCUCUCAAUAAUUUCUCAGAAUCCCAAAAAUCCAUUCAUUUUGCUAUUAUAUGGAAUGAAGGAUUGAAAUAAGGCCAAAUAACUCUUGGUGGUUCUCUUCCCAUACCAGACACCUUUCCUUGGCCUCCUCCUAAGAUGUGUUACCAAAUCAUAACAAUUCACUCUGAAACCUGCUACCUAAAUUACAAUUGCUUUUUAUGGUAGCGAAUUUUAAAAACACUUUUUCAGCAGCCCUGGUCAGAAAUCCACAAAGGAUACUUAGUGCAGAGCAGGAAGAUCUCAAGAGCUUGAAGAUAAUGUUUCAGUCAGCUUACACUACAGUUGCCUCUUCUCGCUGAGUUAGGAAGUGAUUGGUUGCAUCCUGCUUCUGGAGAAGGUAAAGGCAUUUCAGCCAUUGCUACCAUUUAACUCCAAACUCAAAGAAGACCAUCAUUAAGCAGUGAAAGUCCAACUUGGUCUUGUACAUGGAAAUGUCUGUGGUAUGUGCAAGACUUCAUCGAGAGUCAACGUGUCUCAUAGGAAUGGCUCACAGAGCUUUGUUCUUACUAUGCUCAUACAUUCCAAUUUUUGCAAUUAUUACUGCAUUCUCUUCAGUGAAACUUAAGCUCACUCAUGCUGUGUUAUGAGAAUUUUCUAGUCCUAUCACUGAAUUUCUUUCUUAUAGUGAAAUCACUUUCAAAAAAAAAAAAAAAAA